rnacentral:rRNA from 1 species
UACGUAGGGUGCGAGCGUUGUCCGGAAUCACUGGGCGUAAAGGGCGCGUAGGCGGCGCGGGUAGUCAUCGGUGAAAGUUCAGGGCUCAACUCUGAAUCGGCCGGUGAUACUCCCGUGCUCGAGCACUGUAGAGGCAGGUGGAAUUCCGGGUGUAGCGGUGGAAUGCGUAGAGAUCCGGAAGAACACCGGUGGCGAAGGCGGUCUGCUGGGCAGUAGCUGACACUGAGGCGCGACAGCGUGGGGAGCAAACAGG